rnacentral:lncRNA from 1 species
CUGGUAUAUAAGGCAGGAAGGUGGCUGCUGGAAUGGYUUGCUGGUGAAGGUCUGGGCUACUGCAGGAGGUGCUCUGGGGUGGAUGGGCUGCUGUAUGAAGAGGACUGCUCAGCUGUAUGGAGAUGGUGGUCAAGUCAAAGGUGGAAUAUUAGACAGUGCUGGAGGAUGACAGCCAAGGAAGAGAUUCCUGGGUACUCAUUGCUUUCUGACCUGACACUUCAAUGCACUGCUUGCCCAGAGACAGCGUAAGAGCUCAGCCUCUCAUCCCAAAGGAUCCUGAAGAGUAAUUGUAAUAACCUGGCAUACAAAAUAUACGCAGAAAUCAAUUUGCCCACCAUUGAAACGUAGCCACAACUGGAGGGGUUGMGAGCAAGCGACUGCUUAGCAGAAAACUGUGCGAGGCU